GGAAGGCGGAGAGUAAGAUGGAAGAUGAGGAGGUCGCUGAGAGCUGGGAAGAGGCGGCCCCCAGCGGGGAAAUCCAAAUCUCCUCCCAAAGUGCCCAUUGUGAUUCAGGACGAUAGCCUUCCCGCGGGACCCCCUCCACAGAUCCGAAUCCUCAAAAGGCCCACCAGCAACGGUGUGGUCAACAGCCCCAACUCCACCAGCAGGCCCGCCCCUCCGGUCAAGUCCCUAGCACAGCGGGAGGCCGAGUACACCGAAGCCGGGAAGCGGAUCCUGGGCAGCGCCAACCCGGAGGAGGGGCAGGAGAAACCCAUCCUUGACAGGCCAACCAGGAUCUCCCAACCUGAAGACAGCAGGCAGCCCAAUAAUGUGAUCAGACAGCCUUUGGGUCCUGAUGGGUCACAAGGCUUCAAACAGCUCAGAUAAAUGCAGGCAAGAAAAGAUGCCACCAUCGCCGCCGUCACCGCCUCCUGGGUUGUCUGCCACGGGUUGCACUGCCGUGGCAGGCAGCUGAACUUGAGCAGAGGGAACGACCUGACUUACUUGCACUGUGAUCCCCCUUGCUCCGCCCACUGUGACCUUGAACCCCAUGCACUGUGACCUCCCCCCUUCUCCCCCUUCCCACUGUGAUUGGCACAUCGUCAAGGGCUGUCCCAAGUCAAUGGCAAGGGAAAGGGUGGGGGUUAGGGGAAGGUUGAGGGGACCCACCAAGGACUCAGAGUAGAGAGUCAGACAGUGCCACUUGGCCACUUGGGGUAAAGCCAGUGCCAGCAAUAACAGUUUAUCAUGCUCAUUAAUUUGGGAUUUCAAAACACAAAUGAGAACUCACACCCACCUACCCCCAAGUGUAUGUCUUCAUCACUUAAAAAGUAAGUUCCAUUUGAAAAUAUCUUUUCUUUUUUUUUCUUCCUAUUUUUAUUUGUUUAUACAAAUAUCUGAUUUGCAAGAAAAAGUGCAUGGGAGGGGUUUUAGUGGUUUAAUGAAUUUUUAAUUGAGAAAGGGUAGUUUGGUAGUCUACUUAAAAAUGUUUCUGGGAAAUUCACUAGAAACAUUAACCAAUAGGAUUUUGGUGAGCUUAGCUUCUGUAUUCCUACUGCCGCCUGGAAAAGGGGCAGGGCUCUGCAGCUCCCAGGACAGAUGAGCACCCCAUGCCUAUAGCUCCUUCCCUGAGCUAAGUCCCAGGACAUCUGGGCCUUGCCUGGAGACUGGGCUAGCUCCGUAGGCUCACAGAGCCUGGGGAGGGUGACAACUCCACCUCUAGUAUUUUGGGAGACAGGGCAAGUGAACAGACUUCCCUUUCCCAUACCCCUCAGGGUGGUUCCCUACCAGCCAGGCUUAUUGCUUCUAGAAGAGAGCAGAGUGCCAGGGAGUGAGACUGCAUCCCUGGGCUUAGCAGUGAAGGAGAGGAGACCUGUUUAGUAUUUUGCCAUCAGCACAAGGAAAACCAGGAGACAGUCUGGCUCCGGGACCCUAAGCCUUCUGCCUCGUAUGGUCAGAAGGUGGAUAGGUCUUCCCACUCCAGCAUGGCUUGAACUCUUAAGGGUCUGCGGUGCUCCAUCUCCAUUGCUGGCCCCAGAUCAGUCACUAUACCUGGUACAUUUCCUGUGUGCAAUCACUACCUUGAAGGCAGAACAUUCUGAAUAAAGUGGGAAAAAGAACAAC